AGUGGAGCCCCUCAGGAGUGGGCUUGGUGUCCAAUAAAACAUGACCUUCCACCAAGGGAGGGCACACCUGAAAGGGCAACAACGGGAUAUCUGAGAGGAGUUCCGGUGAGGAUCCAGAAUCGUUAGUGAAGCAGAAGCCAGAGGCCGCGAAUCAGACCAAACGACUCAAUGCAAAGAACACUUGCAAGCAAAGCUGUUUGGACAGAAGGGUGCACUGUGGACAGACACACCGCAACUUCCAUGUAAAUGAGAUUGUUGAGUAGCUACAGGGGUGCCUCUGACUUAUAUCAGAAUCAAAUGAGAUAAAUCUGGGGUCACACGGUUUAUAUAACUGAGUUAAGAAACAUAUUCUACUGUAGAUGGGGUUUCUGGUGAGAUGCCCACUAAAUCACAGGUUAGUGCUGGGAAGAAAGAUCGGCCACAUCCGAAGGUCAUAGACACUCGG
rnacentral:lncRNA from 1 species